rnacentral:tRNA from 1 species
GAUGCUGUGGCUUAGUUGGUUAAAGCGCUUGCCUCGUAAUUAGGAGAUCCUGGUUUCAAAUCCCAGCAGUGUCU